rnacentral:rRNA from 1 species
GAUGAACGCUGGCGGCGUGCCUAAUACAUGCCAGUCGAGCGAACAGACGAGGAGCUUGCUCCUCUGACGUUAGCGGCGGACGGGUGAGUAACACGUGGAUAACCUACCUAUAAGACUGGGAUAGCUUCGGGAAACCGGAGCUAAUACCGGAUAAUAUAUUGAACCGCAUGGUUCAAUAGUGAAAGACGGUUUUGCUGUCACUUAUAGAUGGAUCCGCGCCGCAUUAGCUAGUUGGUAAGGUAACGGCUUACCAAGGCGACGAUGCGUAGCCGACCUGAGAGGGUGAUCGGCCACACUGGAACUGAGACACGGUCCAGACUCCUACGGGAGGCAGCAGUAGGGAAUCUUCCGCAAUGGGCGAAAGCCUGACGGAGCAACGCCGCGUGAGUGAUGAAGGUCUUCGGAUCGUAAAACUCUGUUAUUAGGGAAGAACAAAUGUGUAAGUAACUAUGCACGUCUUGACGGUACCUAAUCAGAAAGCCACGGCUAACUACGUG